AUACGGAGGAUGCGAGCGUUAUCCGGAUUUAUUGGGUUUAAAGGGAGCGUAGGUGGGAUAUUAAGUCAGCUGUGAAAGUUUGGGGCUCAACCUUAAAAUUGCAGUUGAUACUGGUUUCCUUGAGUACGGUACAGGUGGGCGGAAUUCGUGGUGUAGCGGUGAAAUGCUUAGAUAUCACGAAGAACUCCGAUCGCGAAGGCAGCUCACCGGGCCGGAACUGACACUGAUGCUCGUAAGUGCGGGUAUCAAACAGGAUUAGAUACCCUGGUAGUCCACACAGUAAACGAUGAAUACUCGCUGUUUGCGAUAUACAGUAAGCGGCCAAGCGAAAGCGUUAAGUAUUCCACCUGGGGAGUACGCCGGCAACGGUGAAACUCAAAUGAAUUGACGGGG
rnacentral:rRNA from 1 species